rnacentral:rRNA from 1 species
CCUACGGGCGGCAGCAGUGAGGAAUAUUGGUCAAUGUGCGCGAGGCUGAACCAGCCAAGUCGCGUGAAGGAUGACUGCCCUACGGGUUGUAAACUUCUUUUAUAAAGGAAUAAAGUGAGGCACGUGUGCCUUUUUGUAUGUACUUUAUGAAUAAGGAUCGGCUAACUCCGUGCCAGCAGCCGCGGUAAUACGGAGGAUCCGUGCGUUGUCCGGAUUUAUUGGGUUUAAAGGGAGCGUAGAUGGGUUGUUAAGUCAGUUGUGAAAGUUUGCGGCUCAACCGUAAAAUUGCAAGUGAUACUGGCAGUCGUGAGUACAGUUGAGGUAGGCGGAAUUCGUGGUGGAGCGGUGAAAGGCUUAGAUAUCACGAAGAACUCCGAGUGCGAAGGCAGCUUACUAAACGGCCACUGACAUUGAUGCUCGAAAGUGUGGGUAUCAAACAGGAUUAGAUACCCUUGUAGUC